ensembl:lncRNA
CCCAAAUCCAAGAAUGAUUUGUUGUUGAACGUCAGUAAUAAAUAAAAAAUGUUGUUAAUCCAAUCUUUCUUAUAUCUAAUCUCCAUUCCCAGAGGCUGUUCAUGUUGAAACUGUGGUGGAGCAAGUUGCAGCAGGUGAUGACAGCAAAGAGGGCGAUGAUAAAUCCGUCACCUCGCACGAGGAAUCAUCAUCAGAGUCAACUGAGGACACAGAUGGCAUGAGACAGAGACGUGAGCACCACGAGACAGAGACCGAAAAGAUCACCAACUUUGCCACAGAUGAACGCAACGCGACGCCUGUCGGGAUCGGAGGUUGCACUAGAGCCCAGUGACAUCUCAUUAUACUGUAGCCCCAUAUUACAUUUAUAAGGAUACAUUAACGAUAAUCAUAAAACUAAUAUGGCUAAAUAUCCAAUAGUGUAGGUAUAGCCUGUUCUAGGCCAUUCAGACAGCCUCCCCCGGUGACCAAUGUGCUUGAUUUAUUGCGUGUCGCCUUGCUGUUGCUAUUUCCGAAGCGCAGAUGCACCGUUCGAUAGUAAAAGGUGGUGUCAUUUGAGUCAGAGGUCAAAGUUCAAUGGUCGACGGUUAACAUCCCCUGUGUAUUCACAAUACUCGGUAGGCGUUUGUUUUGUUCUUCACAUAUUAAUCUCACAUCACGUGAGCUGCAGAAUCAGGCCAUUCAUGUCACGUUG